rnacentral:rRNA from 1 species
CGUGUAGGCGGUCAGGCAAGCGGUAUGUGAAAUCCCGAGGCUCAACCUCGGAACUGCGUACCGAACUGCCAGACUAGAGGACAGGAGGGGGAUGUGGAACUCUAGGUGUAGCGGUGAAAUGCGUAGAUAUCUAGAGGAACGCCGGUGGCGAAAGCGACAUCCUGGCCUGUAUCUGACGCUGAGGCGCGAAAGCGUGGGUAGCAAACA